ensembl:snRNA U6 U6 spliceosomal RNA
GUCAGUAAUGACAGCACAUAAAUUAAAAUUGGAAAGAUAUGGAGAACAUUAGCAUGGCCCCUGCCCAAGGAUGACAUGCAAAUUAGUGAAACAUUUCAUAAUAAA